ensembl:lncRNA
GUUUUUUGCCCUCGCUGAUUUAAAAUAAUCAACUAAUCAUCACGCUGUGUAGUGUUGGGGCAAAUAACUAAACGUGCACCUCUUGGAGGCCUGAGGCCCGAGUUUGGGGAAACUCUGCUUUAUUUACAUUGAACUACUAAUAGUGAUUUAGUCAGAUUAGAGCCCUAUAGAGGUGGUUUAGUGAGACAGCAGCUCUAUAGAGGUGGUUUAGUGAGACCGCAGCUCUAUAGAGGUGGUUUAGUCAGACUAGAGCUCUAUGGAGGUGGUUUAGUCAGACUAGAGCUCUAUGGAGGUGGUUUAGUCAGACAGCGGCUCUAUAGAGGUGGUUUAGUCAGACUAGAGCUCUAUAGAGGUGGUUUAGUCAGACUAGAGCUCUAUGGAGGUGGUUUAG